GCUCAGGGCAAAUUGGUCCUCCACCCAGAGACUCUCCCUUUAGGUGGGUCUGGCUCCCAGCCUCCCCUGAGAUUUCCCUGGCUCACCAGGGGGCUGUGUCUGGUGGCAGAGAGGGCUUUGGAGGAGGCAUUGCCCUGAAACCCUGGCAGAGCCUGGGCACCUAAGAGAGAAUGAGCAACAGGGCUAGGAAGUGUGACAGGGAGUCCACAACCUCCCAGGAUCUUGGGAGGGCAGGGAUGAGGCACUGAGCACGGCCUGGAAGCCCACGGGAAGCAGGGACCCCUCUGUCGAGGGCUACACCUACUGCUCUCAGCAUCAAGCCUGCAGCCAGGCUUGGCGGCCGCGGUGGUGCGAUCAGCAAAGGGCACCGGGAUGCCGGUUGUGCGUGUCCUCAGGUGUCCCGAACAAGCGUGAGUGGCAUGUGCUCACCUGAGCGCGGCGGCUUGGCGGCCCCGGGCGUGUGGGUGGGGGCGCGGCGGAGAGCUGAGGCCGGGCACCCGGGCUGGACCGACGGGCCCUCUCCCAAGCACCGCCCGCAGCCAGGCGGCUCCUCGAGCGCAGCAACUUUGGGACUUUGUUCCGGCUUUUUCCAAAUCGAAUCUGGUCG
rnacentral:lncRNA from 1 species